UUCAGAUAUCGUAUUCCUCUUGUCAACGUCAGAAGCGUCUUACCUGGGCUAAAGAAAAACAGACCUGGUCUGUUGCUCAGUGGUCCAAAUUCCUCUUUUCUGAUGAGAGCAACUUUUGCAUAUCAUUUGGAAACCAAGGACCCAGAGUCUGGAGGAAGAAUGGAGAGGCACACACUGCAAGAUGCUUGAAGUCCAGUGUGAAGUUUCUACAGUCUGUGUUGAUUU